rnacentral:rRNA from 1 species
CAAUAGCGUAUAUUAAAGUUGUUGCAGUUAAAAAGCUCGUAGUUGGAUUUCUGGCCGAGUGUCCCUAGGCCAGCUUGACGUUUGGUCCUAGGCGCUCUGCCAUCCUUCUGUUAACCUUCGCCUCGUUCACUCGUGGCGCUGGGGCUCAGAUAUUUUACCUUGAGAAAAUUAGAGUGUUUCAGGCAGGCUUUCGCCGGAAUACAUUAGCAUGGAAUAAUAGAAUAGGACUUUAGCCUCUUCUGUUGGUCUGAGGGGUUGAAGUAAUGAUUAAUAGGGAUAGUUGGGGGCAUUAGUACUUAACUGUCAGAGGUGAAAUUCUCGGAUUUGUUAAAGACUAACUUAUGCGAAAGCAUUUGCCAAGGAUGUUUUCAUUAAUCAAGAACGAAAGUUAGGGGAUCAAAGAUGAUCAGAU